UGUCUCAGCCAAGGAUUUUGAGCCAAGAUAUGAGGGAAAUGCUUUAACCAGAUGUGUGCCCAUGCCUGUCACUGAACUUUCAGAUGCUGGUAUUUAAAAAGAUUGUCAUCUCCCCUGCCUCCCAGCAAGGGAAGACUGAAGCCAUAGAGCAUGGAAUCCAGCCCUUCUUCUAGCUACCCAAGGGCAGUAAAAACAUCUACAGACUGAUCUUCUACAGCUGCUCUGGAGCACUGGAACUUCCAGUUGUAUAUGUUUUCAGGGCACGAGCCACCUCAGGAAAGCUGCUUUUCAAAAGCUGGCUCAGCUACUGAGCUGAAACAUAUGGAUCCAAACCUUGCUCUGCAGCAGCUUCCAACCAGUGUUCAUCACUAAGACAGCACAACUACAGGGGAAAAAAGCAAACCCAAAACUGAUCACUGCUACCGAGCGAUGAAGGGAAGGAAAGAAGGAAGAUGUGAUAUGGCGACCUGUAGUGGGGAAGAAACAGCAGAAUUAGGCAAGAGCAGUGCCCAGAGGAGAUGCAGAGGGAAGCAAUUUUGGUCCAAAUAGCAAACUUUGGAGUAUUUAUAGUUCUGAGUUGGGAGCUGAACAAAAUAAACACACCCCUUGGAAGGAGUGAGGGACUUAAGGUUCUACUGAGAGCAGCCUAUCUCUCCUGUAGGAGAUCCAGUUUGA